AUUCAUGGUAUCUAGUCCAAAUUAGCAUAGUUGUGAUAGCGUGCCAUAAAGGCAGUUAACCUCAACCAAAAUAUUAAGUGCAUACGUUUUAAGAGAAUUACAUUGAAUCUAUAAGUUUUGGGCCAAUAAACACAAACAACAACAAAACUGUUUAUGGCUCCAUGAAUCAGUUGUUUUUUACUUAUGGAAAGUGAAUGGACACAGUAAAUAAUAUUUUCAGGCUAUGAAGGUUAGAAACCAGAAAGUAUGAUAAAAGCAAUUAACCCUUUUAAUAUAAUUUCCAUCUGAGACAGCUCCUGGGUCAAUGAUACAAAUUUAUUGUUUUAAUCCUUUAGUAUUUAAACCAGCCAUAUCUGGCCCAAAUAUUUUACCCUUUUUAUGUUCAAACUAGCCUGAUCAGGCUUCUCACAUCUACCCUACAAUGUAAUCUUGAAAAUUAUACAAUCAUGUCAUCAAAACCUUAAAGCUACCAGAUGAUGCAUGAAUAAUUAAAAGCAAUGUGAAUCAAUAAGCAUCACCUUUGACAGAGUAAUCUGAGUGCUAAAGGGUUAAAUAGUGUGAUGAAUAAG